UGUGUGUGUGUCUAUCGUGACAUGUACCUUUUGUGGGUAUUCUGUCUGAUCUCUAAUUUAUCCUUAAUAUUAUUAACAUCUGACUAUAGAAGAAAUUUUAAGAAAGAAAAAUGUAAUGAAAUCAUUAGACCAUCAUGUCUUGGGAAAGUUUUGGCCUCAGUGUUUCUUACAGUAUUCCUGUGAAGUAGAUAAAGGAUAAUUGAAAUACCAUAUAGAAAUUUGAAACUUUCUCCAUUCCACAGGAAAGAGGCUGCAUUUAAAAUACCAAAAGAGCAGAGUGGGCAUUUAGCCUGGUGGUUGGGAUACCAGCACCCAUGUCAGAGUACUUGGGUUCGAUUCCCAAUUCUGACUCCUGACUCCAGCUUUCCACUAGUGCCGACCCUGGGAGGCAGUGAGUGAUGGCUGAGUAGUUGGCUGCCUGCCACCUGUGUGAGGGACCCAGACUGAAACACUGGCUCCUGCUUUCGGCUUGGAACAGUCCUGGCCAUUGCAGACGUUUGGAAGUGACCCAGUGGCUGGUAGCAGUAUCUCCCUCUCUCCCCUUUCCCUCUCCAUCUUUCUCUCCUACCACCCUCUCCCUCGCUCUCUUCCCUCACCUGUUCUCCCUCUCAAUAAUAAUAGUAAUACCAAAAAUAUUUAGUGACAUUUUCCCCAUUGUGGAAAAUCUCUUACAGGCCUUGAUAAACUCAUAGUACAAUUAUCUUUACUUGUUAUUGACAUCUUCCUGGCACAUGUUAUUGUCUCGGUGCUAUUUUAAAAAUAAAAGAGUGAAACUUUUUAUAUUAAUAUAUUUCUGUUUAUAGGUAUGGUAAAUUCUCAAAUUAAUGAAUUUUUUUAUAUAUAUAGAAGUCAGUCUUUUUCUAUUUUUACGAACUAGAGGUAUUUUAAAACCAUUUUUACAUCAAAACAUCAUCACCAUGGUGAAACUGAGUGUGAUUCAUACUGUUUGGAGCCAGUGACAAGGAGGCUAUUUCUGCAGGAGCGCAAAGCCAUGGGAUGACUACUUUGAGCCCCAGAUACCAAAGGGUCUCUAAUAUCUUACAAUAGGUACGGGUUCUUCUCCCUUGGUCUGGAAGUUCACGGAAUGAUGGUGUGGGAAAGUGUCCUGGGCAUCCCCUCGCUCCUUGUUGUGGCUGUCUUGGUUGGUCCGGGAUCCUCAUUGCGCUCCCCAGCAUGAAGCCAGUGCUGCACCAGCAGCUCAGAUUUCUGUUGAAGAGCUAGGCCCAUCCGUCCACCUCUCAGCCCUUCGUUGACCACAGGCUCUCGCUCUGUCCACCUCGUGUUCAGCAUCGUGGGGCUAUUCAGUGGGAAUUACUGACUUUGCCUCACAGCCUCUAGCUUAGAGCUAUAGAUGCUCCGCUCUUGUAGAAGUGACUACCUUGCUUAUCUCUGUCAGCUCCAGUGUCGCUCCCCCUCUUCGUGGAGGAGCAACACUGAACCCUGCGCUGUUCUUUCUGUCUGCUCGGCCCUCCCCGGGUUUGCUGCUGGUUCUUCCCGGGUUGGCUACUAUCCCUUCCACCUCCGUGGAAGGGCAGUUCCCCCUGGCCGCAUUCCCCACUUCCGCAGGGGAGCGGCACACCGCCAGCCGGCUCUUUCGGGGGCUGCACGGGUUCCCUUAGAUGUUCCCCAUAGAUGUUUUUUUUGCAUGCCGUCUCUCUCCUCCUUUAUAGUCCUCCUCCGCCAAUCCCAACUCGGCUGAGUACGCUGCUCUCCAAUCAGGAGCAAGUCCUACAGUUAAUUGGUUGAACUGGAGGCAGCUGUGCGGAAGCUGUUUACUUCUCUCCCAGCGCCAUAUUGUGGGAGAGCAGAUGCAUAGAAUAAGUCCUAAUUCGAGCAACUCAGUCUAGUCCGGAUUGCUCCCCACAGAUCCCCCUUUCUUUUUAUUUUUUGGCGUUGAUACGCGCCUGUCUUCGGUGUCCCGCAGCACACACUCUGCUGUACUUGCUAGAGUUGCCACAGGCUCUUACAAGUCCUAUCAAUCAGGAAAACCGAAUCCGGGUCCUCUCUUCGCCAUUGUGAGGAGGUUUUUAGGCGCUGAUGCGUGCCUGUGUUCGGUGCCCUGCAGCGCAUGCUCUGCUCUGCUAGAACUGCCUGCAGGUGUUUACAAAACCUAUCAGGCAAACCGAAUCCAAGCCUUCUCAUUGCCGUAUUGUGGGGGAGACUUAUUAGUGUUGGUUUGUGCCUAUCUUCGGUGACCUGCAGCUCAUACUCUGGUCGAGCUUUGCUGGCGCUUACCGCCUUAAAUCAGGCAGACCGAAUCCAAGCCUCCUAAUUGUUGCAUUGUGGGGAAGCUUUACUGAUGUUAAUUCGUGCCUGUCUUAGGUGACCUGCGGCUAGCCGCCCAGGUACUCAUCGCCUCACUAAUCGGGCAGACCGAAUCCAAGCCUUCUAAUUGGCAUGUUGAGGGGAGGCCUUAUUUUUCUCUAUUUCUCUAUCUCCGGGCAUUUCUAUUUCUCCCAUUUUACUUCUGUCUGCCAACAUUCCUAUUUCUCUUUUACUUCUAAAACUUCUGUUUCUCUUAUCCCCGCAGCUUCCCGGCACCUCGCCCUGCCGGCAGCUUCACGGCUCCGCGCAGCUUCCCGGCGCCUCGCCCCGCCAGCGGGCUCCGCCCCGAGGCUGCUUCUCCGCGCCUCGCCGGCUCUGAGCCGCUUCAGCCCGCGCCUCAUCUGCGCGGCUUCCCGGCUUUGCGCGGUCCGCGGUCUCCACGCUUAACCCUUUCGCGUCUGAACCACGGCCUACGCCAGCCCCGUUCCCUAUCUACUCACGCCCCGUGCUCUCUCUGCACGCGGCGGCUUCCGCGAGUAACACAGCGUAGCUUGCGUCUCCACCACUAGGAUUCAAUCCAAGUUCCCCGGGCUAGCCUGGCGAAUUCAACCCAGCGUACGUCUCCGCCCCACGAUUUGGCUUCCCGUCCUUUGCUCCCCGGGCUAAUCAGACGGAUCCCAAUCUGGCUUACGUCUCAGCUUCUGGUUUCAACUUUUCGCCCCCUAUUCCCGGGCUAACCUGAGAAUCCCAAAGUGGCUUUCGUUUCCGCCUCGGCCUGCCCCCCGCGGCUUCAAUUUCCCUAACAUUUUUCUCUACCCGGUAUGUUUCCCCAAGCUUUCCUCCAACGAUAUUCCUCCCUCAUUUCUCCUGGCCUCUCCCCACAGUCCGCGUCCGAGUCUGUUUGUUCUAGCUUUCACUUUCGCUUUCGCCCUUAGAGAUUUCUCCCAGCUUCCCCCCGUAGUCCGUAUCCGAGUCUAUGCCUAGGCUUUCAAUAGCUUCUUCCGGCACCCUUUUCGUCCGGCUUUUCCCUAGGCUGUUUGCUAGUCUCUCUCUCCGGUAUUUUCCCAAUUCUUCCCGUUUCUUCCCUCUUAAGUUUGCUAUCCGUCCUAGGUUUCCUAUCCAAGCUAGGUUUCCUAUCCGAGUCACGGCACCAUUAUGUCGCUCCCCCUCUUCGUGGAGGAGCAACACUGAACCCUGCGCUGUUCUUUCUGUCUGCUCGGCCCUCCCCGGGUUUGCUGCUGGUUCUUCCCGGGUUGGCUACUAUCCCUUCCACCUCCGUGGAAGGGCAGUUCCCCCUGGCCGCAUUCCCCACUUCCGCAGGGGAGCGGCACACCGCCAGCCGGCUCUUUCGGGGGCUGCACGGGUUCCCUUAGAUGUUCCCCAUAGAUGUUUUUUUUGCAUGCCGUCUCUCUCCUCCUUUAUAGUCCUCCUCCGCCAAUCCCAACUCGGCUGAGUACGCUGCUCUCCAAUCAGGAGCAAGUCCUACAGUUAAUUGGUUGAACUGGAGGCAGCUGUGCGGAAGCUGUUUACUUCUCUCCCAGCGCCAUAUUGUGGGAGAGCAGAUGCAUAGAAUAAGUCCUAAUUCGAGCAACUCAGUCUAGUCCGGAUUGCUCCCCACAUCCAGGAAGGACUAACUUCAGAAUCUCUCUUGUAUUUCUUUAGUAAAGACUUUUUUGGUUAGGAAACAGCAUGUACUGUAGUAUAAAUUGACAAAGCUGUGAUUUAACUCUCAGCUGUGGUUCUUUUUUUUUUUUUUUAAUUUAGCAAGGAUGAAGGAUGGUAAGUCACUGCUUUUUAAAAAAAAUAAUAAAGCAAAUAGUUAUUAUGUCCUGAUUUGAAAAUUAGAGAAUAUCUCAGCUGUUAGGUUCUGGCUUCAGGGUCUUUCAUAAGGGCUACAGUAAAGAAAUGGACUACGGCUGUGGUCAUUGAAGGCUUGACUGGGGCUGGCAGUCUGCUUCUAAGUCGUCUUCUCCCUUCUUAAUAAUUAUCCACCAUGUACUCAAUUCAUAAAUCACAAGUUUGUGAUGCAGUUGUGAGUUACAGUUUCCAAUUUCAGGAACUGGGGACUUCACAGUUGUCCCCUGUUCCUUGAAAGUAUUAGAAUAAAGGAAGAUGCCAAAGAUAAUAACAAUGUUGAUUUCCCAGAUAAUAUGAAUUUGAUGUCUCAAAUUGGGAGGUGAGAUUUUCCUGUGUUAGUUUCUGUUCUUAAUGAUCAGUGAAAGGUAAUACUUGUUUUCACUGGGAGAGAUACUUGUAGUCUCAUCAAGUUUGCUACAUCAAUGUUACUAUAUCUAUCUGCAGGGUGCCUGGGCUAACUGCUAUAAUAUCUUUGUCCUUCUUCUUAGCCCUGGACACCAUUUGCAAACGUGUGUAGGAAGGACAAUGUGAAUGGAGCGGUUCAGAUCAGAGUUUGUUGAGUAGAUAUAUGAACAUUGCAGGAACAUCAGAGAAAUCUGUCACCCUUGUGUUGGUGAGGCAAUGUGGGUAGAGCUUGUAGAAAGAUGGACAUUGUGAUAAGCAAUAAAAUAAGUCAGGUUCACCAAAUGCUGGACAAUUGAGAAAUCAGGGUUUGGUACUUUUCUUUAGUUAUCACUGACUAAUUGGAAGUUUGUCUUCUAUGAAAAAGAAUUCCAGUUUCUCAUUUUUCCUAUUUAGAAAUACAUAUGUGGACAUUUCUUUCCAACACAAAAAGAUACUUACAUUCAUAUGAAAUAAGAGUAAAAUACAAACAUUUCAGAUCAUCUGGUGAAAAAUUGAAUAGGAAAGUGAUGCUACUAUUAAGUUAGAGUUUCCAGAUUAAAAUUAUUUUAAAAAAACAUACAGACUAGGGGCCGGCACUGUGGCGCAGCAGGUUAACGCCCUGGCCUGAAGCACCGGCAUCCCAUAUGGGCACCGGUUCUAGUCCCGGCUGCUCCACUUCCGAUCCAGCUCUCUGCUAUGGCCUGGGAUAGCAGUGGGAGAUGGCCCAAGUCCUUGGGCCCCUAUACCCGUGUGGGAGACCCGGAAGAAGCUCUUGGCUUCAGAUCGGCGCAGCUCCAGCCAUUGCGGCCAAUUGGGGAGUGAACCAGCAGAUGGAAGACCUCUCUUUCUGUCUCUACCUCUCUGUGUAACUCUUUCAAAUAAAUAAAAUAAAUCUUUAAAAAAAAAACAUACAGACUAAAGGACUUAGUGUAUUAUAUACAAAGUUUAGUAUUCUGGGCUUGAUAAAAUUACAUGUGUGAUGUUUUGAAGUAAAGAGUCAUGUGAAUAUUUCAAUGGAAUUUUUAAUAGCUUUAUUGUUACAUAGUUUGCACUGUAUAGUUUAGCAGUUUAUUGAAAUGUACUGCUCAGUGGUUUUUAGUAUAUUUAUAGUACUGCACAACCAUCAGUAUAAUCAUAUUUUAGAGCAUUUUCAUCCCUCCAGAGAGAAAUCUUGUGCCCAUCAGCAGUCACACCCAUCUUACUUUCUUCUCUCCUCCUACCCCUGGAAAACCGCUAAUUUGCUUUGUUUCUUUAUAAAUUUGCCUCUUGUGGGCAUUUUAUGUAAAUGGAACAACAGGUAGCCUUUGUAUCUGGCAUUUCUCAUUAGUUUUCUAGGUAUAUCCACGUGUAGUGUAUCUCAGCACUUCAUGACCAAAAAGGAAUAACUCUUCUUUGGUAAAGUAUCUAUUCAGAUUCUUUGCCCAUUUUUAUUCUACAGUUGUACACUUUAUUUUAGAUACACAUUCCUUAUCAGAUGCCUGAUUUAUAGAUAUUCUCCCUAGCCUAUCAAUUGUCUUUUCUCUUUAUAUUUUUAUAAAAUAUAUUCUUUGAAGCACAUAAUUUUUUUUAACUUUGAUACGGUCCUAUUUAUCUUUUUUUUUUUUCAGUACUUGUGCAAGGCAAUGGAAUUGUUUCUAAGAAAUCAUUAUGUAAUCCAAGGUCCUGAUUAUUAGUACCUAUGUUUUCUAGUAAGACUUUUGUAGUUUUGGUUCUUCAAUUAGAUCUAGGAACUACUUUGGGUUCAGUUUUGUAUAUACUGUUAGGUGGCAGGACCGGCUGUGUCCAGAUUCCUUGCUUUACAUGUUGGUAUUCAGUUGAACCAGCACCAUGUGUUCAAAAUAAUUAUUCCUUCCCCAUUGUCUUGGCUUGUUUCUUGAAAAAUCAGUUAACUAGGCCGGCACCGCAGCUCAGUAGGCUAAUCCUCUGCUUGCGGUGCCGGCACCCCAGGUUCUAGUCCCAGUCGGGGCGCCGGUUCUGUCCUGGUUGCUCCUCUUCCAGUCCAGCUCUCUGCUGUGGCCUGGGAGUGCAGUGGAGGAUGGCCCAAGUCCUUGGGCCCUGUACCCGCAUGGGAGACCAGGAGAAGCACCUGGCUCCUGUCUUCUGAUCAGUGUGGUGCGCAGGUCGCAGCGCGCUUGUCACAGCGCUCCGGCUGCAGUGGCCAUUGGAGGGUGAACCAACGGAAAAGGAAGACCUUUCUUUCUCUCUCUCUCUCUCACUGUCCACUCUGCCUGUCAAAAAAAAAAAAAAAAAUCAGUUAACUAUAAUGUUGCACUUUAUUCUAUUAGAUCUAUAUAUCUAUUUGUGCCAGUACCUCUUUUGGUUUUUUGAGUCAUUAAUUUUUCUAUUAUUAUGUAAGAGAUGAUAAAGUAACUAGUAUAUUUUUUAUUUGGGAUUCUUUCCCUUUAAAAAGCCAUUCUGAUUUCUCCUACUUACAUUAGAAGCGUUCAGUAUGUCCUCUGUUUAGGGACUUCUGACAUACAAUCUAUUAGCUGAUUUCUUUGGAUCCAUUAAGGUUUAUUAUACAAAUAUGCAUGAAUAUUUAGUAAAUAGUAAAAAGUAGCAUUUAUUUGAUAGACUAUAAUGACCUGGUUACGUAGAGAUUUUAAAAAUGUGCACCAGCUUGUCUUGGCUGGCAGAAAUGUCCCAUGAGUCUCUUCCUUCUGUAUGUGUAAGAUGUGCACUUAUGCUACACGACUUUCCCAUCAGUGUAUUUUGCUUUGAAGCAGAUUUAUUUUGUUGAGGAUAUUUCAGAAGUGUUUUUCUAAUUUAAUUUUCUAAUCUUUUAUUUCAAAAACUAAGAAAAAAGCUUUUAUAAGGUGGCGUUCAGAAAGGAGGAUGAUUGUGCACUGGUGACUUUCAUUUUGAACCUGUAAGCUAAUUUCUGGGAGGAGCUGCUCUUUUUGUAACUGAGUCCUGGAAAUUUAUACUUGGAAAGGGAGGAAAACAAAGACUGUGUUGGCCCAAUCACAACUCUGAUCAUUUCAACUGCAAUUUGAAACUAGCACCAGAAAUAAGUAGAACAACUUGGAAGAGCCCAACAUUUAGCAAAUGGUGAUAACCUUGCAACAAUCAUCUGUUGUGGAUAUCAAAACCUGUCUGUUUAAAGCAGACUGUAGAUAGUAUGAAGGGAAAGAGAGUAAAGACAGAUAGCGCCUGAGAGGUUGUGACCUUCUGCCUUUAAAAUUAUCUUCAGCAAGAAAAGUAGGGCUAAGACUGCCAAAUGACGCUGUAAUGUGGAAUAAAGAUUCUUAACCCUUAUGAACAAUGAUCUGCAGACUGUGACAGCUGUGAAAUCCUCAGAAUGAUGGGCCAACUCCCGUGAGCAAGAAGUUAAAGUGGCACAAAGAACAGGGCAACUGCUGUCCUGCGCUAAGAUGUUGGUGAUGCUCUUCUGAAAAGUUGAGAGAUGUCUACGUCAGUAUUUGAAUUGUUUUAAUGUAGUAGGCAUUUUUGAUUCCUUUAAGAAAUCUUUAAUUGCAACCUACAUUUCAAAGUAGCGCUGCAAAGCAUAGCAGUGCAGCAGGCGAAAUCCUGCAACUGUAGUUUGACACAUUUGUUGGUCUUUGCUUUUUAAAGUUCUGGCUUCUUCAGUCUUUAGAGAUAGCUCCUUGCCCACCGGGGACCAGGAAUAGGGAAUAGGAGCCUAUAGUUCUGUCUGGCAUAAACUUUUAUUUUAGGUUUUCAAGGCAGUUUCUUAGUAGUUGAAUGCCAUAGCUGGAUUUAUGGACUGCUCUAUUUGACACAUGAGCAUAAAAAGCUUAUUCUAAAUUCUCUUUUGUUUCCGUGUUGAGAAAAAGAAAGAGGGAACAGAAAAGCAAAUCUCUUAAAAGUACCAUUGGAGAGAGCUUCCAAACACAUGAACCGGUAAAAUGUUUUUAAGUGUAACCUUCCAGUGUAGCAAGACUUCUAAUGUAUGAGCGUAUAAAUGAAGUUUCUUACUUAGAAGUGAAUCUGCCAAGUGGAUCUGGUCUGAGUGUUUUUUUCUUUUUUAUUGUCCAACCCCCUCUGUCAGCAAGAUAAGCCUUAGCUUCAUAUGACCUUGACCUUUGAACUUUGAAAUAUACUUCAUAAUGACUGGUGCUCCUCCUUUGACAAAUUAUUAAAUUGUCGCAAUGCUGUUUGCAGUGGAGUUCAUUUUUAGAAACGAGAUCGUCAGCUGUUUGGCAUUGUUCUGGGAUAGAAGGAGGGACCUCACCGCAGGGACAGGUUGCUUUGUAAGCUGAAACGUGUCAGUCAGCAUACAUAGAGGACUUCGUGAAUGAAAUGAAGAAAAGCGCUUCGCUGCGCAGGGCUGAAGGCAUGUGGCAGAUUUUUCUGGAAGGACAGAGGAGGUAGCAUCAGCCAGCUGCAGUCAGCUUCCGCUGGGGAUCUGCAAACAGCAGACUGCACCUUGAGUCCUUUUUGAAAGAGGAUUCGAUAGAGCAGUUUUGUAUAAAAAUGAAAAUCUUCAUAGUUUUCCAAGAUUAUCGUUUCCUGCUUUACCGAGACAUAACUGACAAAUAAAAAUUGUGUAUGCUUAAGCUGUUCAAGGUGUCGGUUUGAUACAUGUGUACAUUGUGAAAUGGCCGCCACAAUCAAACUAAUUAUGGUAUCCAUUGCCUGAUGCAGUUAUAGUGUGUGUGUUGUGUGAUAACACUAAAGACGCAUUUUCAUAGCGAAUUUCACGUCUCUAAUAUAUAUCAGUGACUGCAGUCACCAUCCUGUACGGAGAUUGCCAGACGUCACUCAUCUUCACACCGAAAGCCUUUGCAGGAUCUCUGUUCCCUCCACUCCUGACUGCCGCCCAUGGGGCAUCUCUCUCUGAUCACUGGAUGUGAAAUGCUGAGUGAUCUUCCUGAUUGAUUUGCAUAUCUUUGGGUCAGAUGGCAGCCGGAGUUCUAGGGCUGGAAGGGGCUUGCUGUGGGUUACCCCUCUCUGUCUGCUGUGCAGUGGCUGGGAGCUGCUUGAUCAUGAGCAGCCUUCUAGGUGGGAACUUCCCUCACGCGCUACUUUCCAUUGUAGCUUUCAUGCCGCCUCUGAGCAUAUUCAGAAUUAAAAAUAGGAGGGUACUUCAGAAGUCUAGUGAAAAAUGGAGUUGAAAGAGUUUGUUUUGGUUCAAAAAUUUCCUUUUUUUUUAAGAUUUUUUUUUUUUUGAAAAAGUUACAGAGAGAGUUAGAACCAGAGAGAGAGACAGAGGUCUUCCAUUCCACUGGUUCACUCCCCAAACGACCACAGUGGCCAGAGCUGAUCUGAUCUGAAGCUAGGAGCCAGGAGUUUCCUCCGAGUCUCCCAUGUGGGUGCAGGGGCCCAAGGACUUGGGCCAUCUUCUACUACUUUCCCAGGCCAUAGCAGAGAGCUGGAUCAGAAGAGGAGCAGCCGGCACUCAAACCGGUGCCCACAUGGUAUGCUGGUGCUGCAGGCUGGGGCUUGAACCCACUGCGCCACAGCGCCAGCCCCCCAAAAUUUUCUUAAAUCAUACGUGCUUGUAUAUGCUUAAGACUUCUUAGUCAAUCCAGUAUUCAACCAUCAGCAAGUGCUAAUUUUUGUUCUAAUAAUUACAUAUAAACUACAAUGAAUAAAUACCUUUAUUUCUUCUGGGUACUAUGUAAUAAAUUGUGGUUCCACUCCUGGAACUUCAUUUCAUGCUGUCAAAUACCAGAAUUAACAACAACAAAAAAUCAACGUACAGGAAGUAAAACAUCAGUGUAACCUUUGCAGACAUUUCUUUUUAGGCAUGUAAAACCAAGUUGUAAAAUAGCAUUAUUGUUGGAGUUUACUUGGGUGGGUUUUUCUGUUUAUGCUGGACUGGUAGAGGCUAAAAAUAGAAACCUAAUGCUUAAGAUAGAAAUCCUUUUUAGGGGCAAGUGCCAUGGCUCACUUGGUUAAUCCUCUGCCUGCGGCGCCGGCAUCCCAUAUGGGUGCCAGAUUCUGUCCCAGUUGCCCCUCUUCCAGUCCAGCUCUCUGCUGUGGCCCAGGAGUGCAGUGGAGGAUGGCCCAAGUGCUUGGGCCCUGCACCCACAUGGGAGACCAAGAAGAAGCACCUGGCUCCUGUCUUCGGAUCAGCGCAGCGCCAGCCAUAGCGGCCAUUUGGGGAGUAAACCAACGGAAGGAAGACCUUUCUCUCUGUCUCUUUCUCUCACUGUCUGUAACUCUACCUGUCAAAUAAAUUAAAAGAAAGAAAGCAAGAAAGAAAUCCUUUUUAGUCCCAAAAAGAAAGCUUGAUUGCUUCAAAAAUUUUUUGCUCUUUGGCUGUGUAACGCCACUAACGCCAUAGGUUUUGAUCGCAGCCAUUGUUAACUAGCAACAUCAGCACAAACUAAACCCAGUCCUCCCACGGAUGUAUUUGCCUUGAAUCUGCUUCUUGAACAGGGCUUUACGUCAGGGUUCAUGGUAGGUGCUGUGCAAAUGUAGUGUCCUGGUUUCAGGACGGCAGCAGGUUUUCAGAAGCACAUGAGUGGCACAGUGUUGGUGAAAUGCAGUUUAAAAAGCUGUAAAUCUGAGUGGUGACUUGGUAAGAAAAUGAAUAUUCCAAGCCUUAUGAGAAGGGAAAAUGCAAACAUGUGUAUUUGUGUACAUAAAUGUGCUUAGGUACAUGUCACCCUGGGGUAACUUUACAACCCUGUGUUUGUUUGUUUGUUUGUUUUUGACAGGCAGAGUUAGAGAGAGAGAGAGAGAGAGACAGAGAGAAAGGUCUUCCUUUUUCCGUUGGUUCACCCCCCAAGUGGCCGCUACGGCUGGUGUGUUGAGGCCGGCACGCUGCACAGAUCCAAAGCCAGGAGCCAGGUGCUUCCUCCUGGUCUCCCAUGGGGUGCAGGGCCCAAGGACCUGGGCCAUCCUCCACUGCACUCCCGGGCCACAGCAGAGAGCUGGCCUGGAAGAGGAGCAACUGGGACAGAAUCUGGUGCCCCAACCAGGUCUAGAACCCAGGGUGCCGGCGCUGCAGUCGGAGGAUUAGCCUAGUGAGCCGCAGCGCUGGCCACAACCCUGCGUUUUUUUCUAAGCAUUUCGGAUUUCCCUUGCCCCCAUUUGCCUUUUUCUUUUUAAUUUUCUAAUUCAGUUUCAGCCAGUGUUCUUAGAUGUUCCCAACAGUGGAGAUUGGAAUGAGUUCAAUGUGUAACGCUGUUGAACUAGUUGUCCUGCCCUGCUGCCAAGGUCACCAGGAGGAUCCUCACGGGGUGUUGGGAAGAGGGUGUUGGGAGGAGAUACCAUAGGACUGGGGUUGGUGUGAGGUGAUUGAAGGGAAGUUCAGCCAAGCAGGGCGUGGCUCCACAUUGGAUGCUGUCAGAAACAGAGAGCAAUUCCACAUGUGGGUUAAGAAAUCUUACCUAAAAGAAGGAAAGACUAAACCAGGGCCGAAGUCAUGACUGGUUAAGAAGCAGCAGCCUCUUAUUUUAUCCAGGACAGAAUGUUUGCUCAUUUCUCUGUCUUAUAAACUUACUGCAUUCAGAUGUGAUUAUGGAGUGAUCUUGUUUUUGUCCUGAUCCUUCAUGGUCAUGAAGUGGCCUUGUCUGUUGUUGGUAUCCUGUGCAGUUGUUGAUAUUCACCCAGAGAACACCAAGGCCUGGCUGUGAGUGCCAGGCCAACUUCGAGAUGUCAGCUUUUCUUUUCUCAGUUGGAAGAAAAAGUAAAAAUGUCUGGCUUUUGGUAGAUCGCUUCUGCUUAAGGUAUUUUACCAAAACGUAUGCUAUCUGUUUGUAAUUUUUAUAGAAAUAUAUAGAGAUAUUCAUAGAGGGCUAUACAACAAACAAUUAAUAGUAUUUGUAUUAGUUUAUUUAUUUUUUUAACUUUUAUUUAAUGAAUAUAAAUUUCCAAAGUACAGCUUAUGGAGUACAAUGGCUCCCCCCCCCCAUACCGUCCCUCCCACCUACAACCCUCCCCUUUCCCACUCCCUCUCCCCUUCCAUUCACAUCAAGAUUCAUUUUCAAUUAUCUUAAUAUACAGAAGAUCAGCUUAGUAUACAUUAAGUAAAGAUUUCAACAGUUUGCUCCCACACAGAAACAUAAAGUGAAAAAUAAUAGAUGAUUUUUUUUAAAUGAUGAUGAAAUCAGAUCAGACCUAUUGUCAUGUUUGAUCCCAGUGAGAGUCAAGUUCGGAGUUGAUAAUUUCUUUUUUUUUUUUUUUUACUUAUUUAUUUUUUUAAUUUUUUUUUUUUACAGAGGAUCAGUUUAGUAUGCAUUAAGUAAAGAUUUCAACAGUUUGCACCCCCAUAGAAACACAAAGUGAAAUAUAUUGUUUGAGUACUCGUUAUAGCAUUAAAUCUCAAUGCACAGCACAUUAAGGACAGAGAUCCUACAGAUUUAUUUAUUUAUUUGAAAGAGUUACACAGAGAGAGGAGAGUCAGAGAGAGAAAGAGAAAGAGAGGUCUUCCUUCCGCUGGUUCACUCCCCAAUUGGCCGCAAUAGCCCGAGCUGUGCUGAUCUGGAGCCAGGAGCCAGGAGCUUCUCCUGGGUCUCCCAUGGGGGUGCAGGGACCCAAGGACCUGGUCCAUCUUCUACUGCUUUCCCAGGCCAUAGCAGAGAGCUGGAUGGGAAGUGGAGCAGCCAGGAGAAGCGCUCACAUGGGAUGCCAGCACUGCAGGCGGAGGCCCCACCCACUACACCACAGCACCGGCCCCAGUGUUAGUUUAUGACAAAAUUGUAAAUAUUCUCCGUGACCUUCAUUGGUAUUUCUUCUUCUUUUUUGUAGUAAGCAUGCAUUACUUUUAGUAUAAUAAAAAUUAAUGAGAAGGUAUAAAGUAGUCUUCACUAUUUUAAAGUUUUAUUUAUUUUUUUUAGAUUAUUUAUUUAUUUGGAUUAUUUAUUUAUUUAUUUGGGGGCAGGAAGGGAGACAAUGCUCCAGUUCGCUGGUUCACUGCUUCAAAUGCCUGCAGCAGUUGUGGCUGGACUGAGGCUGAGCCUGAGAGCCAGGAAUGCAGUCCAGGUCUCCCACACGGGCGACAGGAACCCAGUUACUUGAGACUUCACCACUCCCUCCCAGAGUCUGCAUUGGCGGGAAGCCGGAAUCACGAGCCAGAGUUGGGAAUCAAACGUAGACACUCUGAUGUGAAAUGUGGGCAUUGUAACCACUAGGCUGAACACCCUCUCCUCAGCUAUUUCAGAUCUUGUUUUAACUUAAUGCCCCAUCGUAUGAAACUCCCUACAUUAUUGAAGUCUAUUCUUCCAGCCAUCUUGCAGAUCUAUAUAAUUUUCCUGACUAUUCUCCAUUGAACCUUUAGGUUGUACCCAGUGUUUGUCAUAAAGCAUGCUGCAAUGACUCUCGAAACCUUUGGGUGUGAACAUUGAUCUGUUCUUCUGACUGUUUUCCUAGUAUUGGAAGAUUGAGUCAAAGUCAUGAUUAUUUUUUAGGCAUUUGAUAAUACUUAUCAAGUGCAAGUGCAUUCCAGAAAACUUACAUCAAUUUAUACCAGAUAUGUGUGAGUAUGUAUUUCACCACAUCUUUGCCAAUCUGAUAUAUAAAGGUAUUCAAUUGUUCUGUUUUGUAAUAUGUUUGAAUUAUUAAGAGAUUUUGAGCAUCUUUGUUAGUCACUUUUAGAUCUUCCUUUGUGAUUUGUUUGAUUAUAUUUUUUGCUCAAGGCAGUUUUUAAUAUUUACCGUAGAAGCUAGGACAAUGAAGACUGUCUACUUGAUAUUUAUUGUCAGUUUGAGCACAAAUUAUUGCUGCUUACUGAAUAGCCUGCAGCCUUUUCUCCAAUUUUGGCUAAAUCUGGAAUAAUUAUUCGUGUGCCCAGAGAGGCAUUAUGUAGGAGGCUAAGUGCGACUUUGGAGUAGACACUGAAGUACAUAUAGAGAGGAUGAAUAUCUGUUGCCAGGUGGAUGUGAGUCUACCCAACAGCCAUCAGUUCUGCCACCUCGGUGGACACUAUCAGUGACUGGCCCACGUGCCCCAUUAACCCUAGGUUUUUAUGAAGGUGGUAAGAGGGUAGAUUAUAAAGCAUGAAGGCAGGUUCAUGUCACUUGGUUUCUUUUGCGGGUGGUGUCCUGAUCGCUCUCUUUUUUUUUUCCCUUUUGCUUCACUUUGAAUUGAUUUCAGGGCUUAUUUAAAUCAUAAACCUGUACAUUCAGGUAACUUUUUGUCUUACUCAAGACUUGCCACUUGUGUCUUUCUCUUUCAUGUACUUACAUGAGAGAAUCUCUGUCUCUGCAUUCAUCUAUCAUUGAGAUGUUUAGUUAAAAUCAGAAAUAUUUGUUCAUUGCACACAACAUUAAUUUAAGUUUAAUCACCCACUGAAUGACUUUUGUGUUGAUUCUGCCCUACCGAUGCAGGGGUCCAACUUUGAGCCCAGCCUCAGAAAUGGAUCCUUACACAGUAGCAAACUAGAAAAGAAACACAGUGUAUUUGGCAUUAACCAGCUCUAUUAAGUCCACAGGAUUCACGUACAAGAUUUUCUUUUAGUGGUAAAAUUUUUAGUAAGUGUCCCUAAUCAUUUCUGAAAGGAUAUUCACAGUUAUAAAUUUACAUGUGCAGACACUGCAAUUGCUAGUUUAAAUAGGACCCUUCAUGCACUGGCUUGAUUGCUAAGCAGUAUGAUGGAUAGGUGGAUUCUUAGAUCUUUAUCUGCCAUCCCUAGUUUUUUAAUAAAAAGGAAACUGCUCCUAAAUGGUACCUCUAGUGUUUAGCUUCCCUUGUUACCAUGGAACCUGAAGUGUAGAUUUCUUGGUUGGUAAAUUGACUGUGACCUCAUCCUGAUAUGGUAUUUUUUAAGUUUCAAAGCAUAGUUCUAUUUUCGUAGUUUUCACAAGAUCAGUUAAAUUCAAAGACUUGUCCCAAGUCUGUGUUGCAGGGGGGUCACGGUGUUUACUCCAAUGCUGCCUGUCGGAAUGGGCUCUGGGCAUCCCUGAGUGUGGAGACUUUCUGUGGUAGCACUGUUUGGUCUGUGUUAACUUCUUUAGACAUGUUAGACUACCUGUAGGGAAAGGAGAUUGGAGGAUCAUUGCUCGUCCAGAAAAUAGCCACCACAUUUAAAACAAUAUUCUAUUGGGGAACUUCCAUCUUUGUUUUUCCAUGUGUUGAGUUCUCUCUUGAUGCAGACUGUGAACCUGUUGGUGGUGUUUAGAAAAGCUGUGUGUUUUAAAUGUUGGUCCUGAGCUAAAGCAGGAGGCAAAAUAGAGGCACUUGUGCUCCCCAGUUUUCUGUCUGUCUUUCUGCCUCCAUUAAGAUUCAAGUCUCCUGCCUGCUGUCAGUAGCCGGUCAUGGCCCCAGGCCUUCUCCACGCUUACUAAUGUUUUCCCUCCCUGUGUUUUUUCUCACUCGCCUUCUGGACUUUUUAAGUUUCCUUCACGAUCUUUCUUAAUCUCAGCUUUUCAAAUCCUCCUGUGACAAGUGCCCGCCCCCACCCCUCAUUGUGCCCCGCGUCUGCUCUUGCUGAACCUGUCGUGCGUGGUGUGCUGUAAUCUCUACCUCGAGCAUCCCAGCACCUUCUCUGACCUAAGAGAAGUGAUCUUUUUGAAAUCCUUGUUUCCUUUAAGCCCCUUGAACCUUCCAGUAGGAACCCAGUUGGUACCCAAGACUUCCCCAUGGUCUGGAAGACUUUUCUCAGACACGCAGCGUCUGAGACUUUCCCUGCCCACGCCUCACUUUCCUGCUUGCCUCCGAAGCCGGCAGAGUUACUGGCGCUGGAGAAGCCUGAAGGAGCCAAGUGAUUCAUAAACGUGAAAGAUCACAGGGUGAUUAAAACAAGGCCAAUCAUGCCCCUUUCCUCCAUCAGGGAGGAGUGAGUGAUGGGUAAUGAUGGGCAUUAGGCUGUGGCUUUAUUACAUCGUGAUAGGAAUCUCGCCACACGUGUGGGAGAUUGUGAGCUGCGCAUCCUUACGCCACUCUAUAGUGUAGCGAAGCAUUAGAUAGAUUUAUCAGCACAAAACAUAGGAGAAUAAAGUAUAUUGCUGAGGAUGUGAGCACUCCUAUUGAAAUAUAAGUACUGAGAGUGCUGACUGCCAGAAUGUGGAUUUAUGGGAAAUAAAGCCCUAAAAUACUUUCUCCAACAACAACAAAAAAAUAUACCUCUUGGAAACAGCUUUUGCUCUCUCUGUACUUAGCUCCCAUUGAGCUUAAAUUGCUCUCAGUAUUGUGAUAAUGACAAUUCAAUAUUACAGGAUGCGGAAGAUGAACCAAAUAAAUUAACCAGCUGCUUUUAAGGGUAGCUCGCUCAAUGGCUCACUCCCUAAAAUGCUUUGUAGAACAUUCGUGCUCAGUAGGUCUCUAGGCAGUUUUAUGACUAGAAGAAAGGAAUGGAUUUUAUUAAAUGUCAGUGAAAUAAAGGCAGAUAGUGUUGUGGUAGUUAAAUUAGUGUAGAAUGUUUUUAAGAAAAGUAGUUUAUCUUUUCUUAAAUCACUAAAGCAGAACUUUCCUUGGCAUUGCUGCCAGAAAAUGUGUUUCUGCUUGAAAUUCCCAUAGAUUGGGUUUUUUUUUUUAAAAAAAAGCAAAUGGAGAGUGGAUCAUUUCUUCUCCCUCUUGUAGGAUACUCUGUAUCCUAUGGAGUAAAUAUUAUAAAUAAAUUUCCACACAAGAGUUGCAGAGAACAAAAAUGAGAAUGACUUCAAGAUUACUAGCUGAAACUUAGGGUUUCACAUGGAUUGGAAAGUUAAGCUCAUGAGCAAAGAAUAAAAAAGGGAUGGAGAGGCAAGACGGAAACAAAUGCUCCAAGGGGCUAGGCCUGUAUCAUGAGGGCAGGUGCAAGAGCUGGGAGAAGUGGAUACCAGGUCAGUGAAGACAGCCUUCAGAAGGGCACACAAAGAAAUCACUGUUCAGGCCAAAUUCACGGUCAGUAAUUUGUCCCUGAAGUAAAGGAACCGCAGUUACUGAAAGUGAGUAGAGGAAGACUGACCUUAAAAAUAAUGUUGAAAGUUUUGACAAGUUAUAUCCCCUGGCCUUGAGCAAAGGAAAAUAAACCAACAUGAUGGGAAUUGGACAUAGGAUCAGUGUGAGUGAGUGAGUCCUUUGUAAAAGUGAAAAUGUGUUAAUUGUAUAAAUAGGUCACAGGAUUCUUUCCUUUAAAUAUCGAGAUUAGGGCAGAUUCCAGUUGUUCAAAAGAGUUUAGAGGCAUUACUAACUAAUGGUGGGCUGAGUAGCUAACUGGAGUGUUGGACAGUUCCACAGCUCCUCCUGUGUGUGGGCAGAGAAGUAAACAAUUAGGAUUAGUAGGCGUAGGAAAGGCUGCUUACUGUCUAAUAUUUAUUAUGCCUGAUGUAUCUGGGAAAAUAUGAGUGCAAGAUAUGGUCCCUUUCUGCCAUGCGUGGACAGUCUGUUGGAAAGGAAGUACAAGUUAACGCAAGUGACACACAAAUCUUUGUGAUUUAACACCAAGAUAAAGCACCAUACUCAUUGUGCUCUGCUGAAACCAGCAUGAUCAUAAAAGGCAUAUAGAACCAAAGAAUUCAGAGGAAGUUGUUUGACUUACAAAAGAAUUCCCCUAAGUGGUGAUUUUCCUUAAUAUAUUUAAGAUUCUUUCUUGACAGAUAAUUUCUUAUUUUUCAAACAUAAGGCCUAAAGGUAAAGUGAUUUGGAAUUAUAAGAUUAGCAUCCCUAAUCCAAAAAUCUGCGAUCCAAAAUCCAGAACGUUGAAAAGAACCAUGUGGAGCAUUUCAGAUUUUGGAUUUUCAGAUUAAGGAUGCUCAGCUGGUACAGUAUAUGCAAUUAUUAUUCCAGAAUUCACAAAAACUCUGAAAUCUGAAACUCUUGUGUUUUCAAGCAUUUCAUAUACUCAAGCUAUCCUGCUGUUUGAGAAAAUAUAACAAAAAUAACAGGAGUCCUGUCUCCAAUUAUAAUGUUAAUUCAUUAAGCUUAGUUUCAUUUACAGAAGUUAGUAUAUUCCAUUUUUGUUUGAGCAGUUGUUGCAUAGAAUGGCAUGGACCUGUCUGUACCAUAAACAUAACAUCGAGAAGCUUUUUUGCUAUUCCGAGUCCAUGUCAGAGCGAGAUCCACAAGGUUUACUGGAGUCAGCCUUGAGAUGAACUGAAUGCAGAAUUCUUCCUUUUCUUCCUGCCCUCUGCUGGAAAAUUUCCUAGGAGCCAGAACAGGAGACAAAGGGAAGCUGGAGUCCAGCCAGCCGCAGCUCCCUGCACGACUGCAAGCAGACUUAAAGCUGCGAGUUUGAAUUGUGGUCGGAAUUGCAACAAGAUUUUAUUAAAAAUUUCUAAAGAAGUUAAUAUUUUAUUUAAAAAGUAGGUAUGGUUUACAUAAAUUAGUUCCAACACAUUUUUAAUAUUCUUCAAACAUUCCUUCCUCAAGUAACAGGGAAUUUUUUGUUACUGUUUAUUGUUUCAAGUAUAACCCUAAAUUAUCCUGAUUAUGAAAAGAAGAGGAUGGAUUUUCAUCCCCAUUAAUGUGUUAGCAUUAUACUGUAAUUCACAAUAUUCAGUGUAGAAUACCUAUAAAAUACAAAUAAUCAAUGUUGAAUCUCCUGGAAUCCGUUUCUGUAAUUAUGAUAUCUUUGUGAUACAAUUUUCAUAUUUUCCCAUAAUAUUUAUAUGUGAAUAUACAUUCAUAUUUUGUUUAAAGGAUAUUAUAUCUUGUACUGUUUAGUAAUCUGUUUUUUAAUUGCAUAUGCCCCGAGCAUCUACUUAGGUUCAUGCAUCUACACAGAGAAAGUUGUUUAAAAAUAGACACAUGCUCUACAGUUACCUUGCCUUAGCACCCUGUGCUUGAUCACGCCUUG